rnacentral:rRNA from 1 species
GUUUUCAAUAAUAAAAAUAACAUUAUUUUUCACGAAACCAGUUGAGCUAAAUUUUACUUCUUUUAGGAAAUUAUUUUAGUGUGGCAAUACUAUUAAAAAUAACAAUUUAGGAGUGAAAGGCCUAUCAAAUCUGGGAAUAUCUUGAUAGUAAAAAAAUAUAUUUAGUAUAAAAGACAACCUAAAAAUGGUUAGGUUUUUAGGAUACACAAUAAUGAAAAUACAUUACUAUGAAUUUAGUAAAAUAUAUCAUUUUAUUCUAUUAUAACAUUAAAAAUCUUGAGAAUGUGGAAAGUAUUUACUCAUUUAUUUUAAUUUCAAAAAAAAUAUAUUAUGAUAACAUUAGUAUACAAUAAAAAUAAUAAAAGGAACUCGGCAAAAAAAUUCUCGACUGUUUAUCAAAAACAUAGCCUUAUGUUAUUAUGUAAGGUUACCCCUGCUCAAUGAUUAAUUAAAUAGCCGCAGUACCUUGACUGUGCAAAGGUAGCAUAAUCAAUUGGCUUAUAAUUGAAGUCUAGUAUGAAUGGGAAUCCGGGUAUUAGCUGUCUCUUAUUAUAAACUGAAUUUACUUAAUAAGUGAAAAUUCUUAUACUUUUAGAAGAAAGACGAGAAGACCCUAGAAAUUUUAUUAUAUAAUAUAUUUUGUUGGGGCGACAGGGUAGCAAAAAACCUACCUAAAAUAAUAAGAAAUUAUUGAGUUGAAUAAAUAAAUUACUCUAGGGAUAACAGCAUAAUAUAGAAAAGAUUGUGACCUCGAUGUUGGACUAGGGAGGGGCUUUCCUAAAAGGUUAGUUAGCACGCUCUGUUCGAGCACUUAUUCCUACAUGAUCUGAGUUCAGACCGG